AAUGGUAUCAGUGGUAGGGGAGCGUUCUAAGGACAGUGAAGUCAGACCGGAAGGACUGGUGGAGUGCUUAGAAGUGAGAAUGCCGGUAUGAGUAGCGAAAGACGGGUGAGAAUCCCGUCCACCGAAUGCCUAAGGUUUCCUGAGGAAGGCUCGUCCGCUCAGGGUUAGUCAGGACCUAAGCCGAGGCCGACAGGCGUAGGCGAUGGACAACAGGUUGAUAUUCCUGUACCACCUCUUUAUCGUUUGAGCAAUGGAGGGACGCAGAAGGAUAGAAGAAGCGUGCGAUUGGUUGUGCACGUCCAAGCAGUUAGGCUGAUAAGUAGGCAAAUCCGCUUAUCGUGAAGGCUGAGCUGUGAUGGGGAAGCUCCUUAUGGAGCGAAGUCUUUGAUUCCCCGCUGCCAAGAAAAGCUUCUAGCGAGAUAAAAGGUGCCUGUACCGCAAACCGACACAGGUAGGCGAGGAGAGAAUCCUAAGGUGUGCGAGAGAACUCUGGUUAAGGAACUCGGCAAAAUGACCCCGUAACUUCGGGAGAAGGGGUGCUUUCUUAACGGAAAGCCGCAGUGAAUAGGCCCAAGCGACUGUUUAGCAAAAACACAGCUCUCUGCGAAGCCGUAAGGCGAAGUAUAGGGGGUGACACCUGCCCGGUGCUGGAAGGUUAAGGAGAGGGGUUAGCGUAAGCGAAGCUCUGAACUGAAGCCCCAGUAAACGGCGGCCGUAACUAUAACGGUCCUAAGGUAGCGAAAUUCCUUGUCGGGUAAGUUCCGACCCGCACGAAAGGUGUAACGAUUUGGGCACUGUCUCAACCAGAGACUCGGUGAAAUUAUAGUACCUGUGAAGAUGCAGGUUACCCGCGACAGGACGGAAAGACCCCGUGGAGCUUUACUGUAGCCUGAUAUUGAAUUUUGGUACAGUUUGUACAGGAUAGGCGGGAGCCAUUGAAACCGGAGCGCUAGCUUCGGUGGAGGCGCUGGUGGGAUACCGCCCUGACUGUAUUGAAAUUCUAACCUACGGGUCUUAUCGACCCGGGAGACAGUGUCAGGUGGGCAGUUUGACUGGGGCGGUCGCCUCCUAAAGUGUAACGGAGGCGCCCAAAGGUUCCCUCAGAAUGGUUGGAAAUCAUUCGUAGAGUGCAAAGGCAUAAGGGAGCUUGACUGCGAGACCUACAAGUCGAGCAGGGACGAAAGUCGGGCUUAGUGAUCCGGUGGUUCCGCAUGGAAGGGCCAUCGCUCAACGGAUAAAAGCUACCCCGGGGAUAACAGGCUUAUCUCCCCCAAGAGUCCACAUCGACGGGGAGGUUUGGCACCUCGAUGUCGGCUCAUCGCAUCCUGGGGCUGUAGUCGGUCCCAAGGGUUGGGCUGUUCGCCCAUUAAAGCGGUACGCGAGCUGGGUUCAGAACGUCGUGAGACAGUUCGGUCCCUAUCCGUCGUGGGCGUAGGAAAUUUGAGAGGAGCUGUCCUUAGUACGAGAGGACCGGGAUGGACGCACCGCUGGUGUACCAGUUGUUCUGCCAAGGGCAUAGCUGGGUAGCUAUGUGCGGAAGGGAUAAGUGCUGAAAGCAUCUAAGCAUGAAGCCCCCCUCAAGAUGAGAUUUCCCAUAGCGUAAGCUAGUAAGAUCCCUGAAAGAUGAUCAGGUUGAUAGGUUCGAGGUGGAAGCAUGGUGACAUGUGGAGCUGACGAAUACUAAUAGAUCGAGGACUUAACCAUAUAA
rnacentral:rRNA from 1 species